GGUGUGUCGUGAGGCAUGCUGGAGGUAUCAGAAGUGCGAAUGCUGACAUAAGUAACGAUAAUGCGGGUGAAAAACCCGCACGCCGGAAGACCAAGGGUUCCUGUCCAACGUUAAUCGGGGCAGGGUGAGUCGACCCCUAAGGCGAGGCCGAAAGGCGUAGUCGAUGGGAAACGGGUUAAUAUUCCCGUACCUGGUGUUACUGCGAAGGGGGGACGGAGAAGGCUAUGUUGGCCGGGCGACGGUUGUCCCGGUUUAAGCGUGCAGGCUGGUUUUCCAGGCAAAUCCGGAAAAUCAAGGCUGAGGCGUGAUGACGAGGCACUACGGUGCUGAAGCAACAAAUGCCCUGCUUCCAGGAAAAGCCUCUAAGCCUCAGGUAACAUCAGAUCGUACCCGAAACCGACACAGGUGGUCAGGUAGAGAAUACCAAGGCGCUUGAGAGAACCCGGGUGAAGGAACUAGGCAAAAUGGUGCCGUAACUUCGGGAGAAGGCACGCUGACACGUAGGUGAAGCGGUUUACCCGUGGAGCUGAAGUCAGUCGAAGAUACCAGCUGGCUGCAACUGUUUAUUAAAAACACAGCACUGUGCAAACACGAAAGUGGACGUAUACGGUGUGACGCCUGCCCGGUGCCGGAAGGUUAAUUGAUGGGGUCAGCGCAAGCGAAGCUCCUGAUCGAAGCCCCGGUAAACGGCGGCCGUAACUAUAACGGUCCUAAGGUAGCGAAAUUCCUUGUCGGGUAAGUUCCGACCUGCACGAAUGGCGUAAUGAUGGCCAGGCUGUCUCCACCCGGGACUCAGUGAAAUUGAACUCGCUGUGAAGAUGCAGUGUACCCGCGGCAAGACGGAAAGACCCCGUGAACCUUUACUAUAGCUUGACACUGAACACUGGUCCUUGAUGUGCAGGAUAGGUGGGAGGCUUUGAAGUGUGGACGCCAGUCUGCAUGGAGCCGUCCUUGAAAUACCACCCUUUAAUGGCUGGUGUUCUAACGUAGACCCGUGAACCGGGUUGCGGACAGUGUCUGGUGGGUAGUUUGACUGGGGCGGUCUCCUCCUAAAGCGUAACGGAGGAGCACGAAGGUUGGCUAAUCCUGGUCGGACAUCAGGAGGUUAGUGCAAUGGCAUAAGCCAGCUUGACUGCGAGCGUGACGGCGCGAGCAGGUGCGAAAGCAGGUCAUAGUGAUCCGGUGGUUCUGAAUGGAAGGGCCAUCGCUCAACGGAUAAAAGGUACUCCGGGGAUAACAGGCUGAUACCGCCCAAGAGUUCAUAUCGACGGCGGUGUUUGGCACCUCGAUGUCGGCUCAUCACAUCCUGGGGCUGAAGUAGGUCCCAAGGGUAUGGCUGUUCGCCAUUUAAAGUGGUACGCGAGCUGGGUUUAGAACGUCGUGAGACAGUUCGGUCCCUAUCUGCCGUGGGCGCUGGAGAACUGAGGGGGGCUGCUCCUAGUACGAGAGGACCGGAGUGGACGCAUCACUGGUGUUCGGGUUGUCAUGCCAAUGGCACUGCCCGGUAGCUAAAUGCGGAAGAGAUAAGUGCUGAAAGCAUCUAAGCACGAAACUUGCCCCGAGAUGAGUUCU
rnacentral:rRNA from 1 species